rnacentral:rRNA from 1 species
AUUGAACGCUGGCGGCAUGCCUUACACAUGCAAGUCGAACGGUAACAGGUUAAGCUGACGAGUGGCGAACGGGUGAGUAAUGUAUCGGAACGUGCCCAGCCGUGGGGGAUAACUACUCGAAAGAGUGGCUAAUACCGCAUACGACCUGAGGGUGAAAGCGGGGGACCGUAAGGCCUCGCGCGAUUGGAGCGGCCGAUAUCAGAUUAGCUAGUUGGUGGGGUAAAAGCCCACCAAGGCGACGAUCUGUAGCUGGUCUGAGAGGACGACCAGCCACACUGGGACUGAGACACGGCCCAGACUCCUACGGGAGGCAGCAGUGGGGAAUUUUGGACAAUGGACGCGAGUCUGAUCCAGCCAUGCCGCGUGCGGGAAGAAGGCCUUCGGGUUGUAAACCGCUUUUGUCAGGGAAGAAACGAGUUUCGCUAAUACAGAGACUUAAUGACGGUACCUGAAGAAUAAGCACCGGCUAACUACGUGCCAGCCGCCGCGGUAAAAC